rnacentral:misc_RNA from 1 species
AACGCACAUUGCGCCCUUUGGUAUUCCAAAGGGCAUGCCUGUUCGAGCGUCAUUUGUACCCUCAAGCUUUGCUUGGUGUUGGGCGUCUUUUGUCUCUCCCCCGAGACUCGCCUUAAAAACAUUGGCAGCCGGCCUACUGGUUUCGGAGCGCAGCACAUUAUUUGCGCUCUUGUCCAGCCGCGGUCGCGCGUCCAUGAAGCCUUUUUUUUUUUUCAACCUUUUGACCUCGGAUCAGGUAGGGAUACCCGCUGAACUUAA